AUGAACGCUGGCGGCGUGCCUAAUCCCUGCAAGUCGAGCGCACAGACGAGGAGCUUGCUCCUCUGACGUUAGCGGCGGACGGGUGAGUAACACGUGGAUAACCUACCUAUAAGACUGGGAUAACUUCGGGAAACCGGAGCUAAUACCGGAUAAUAUAUUGAACCGCAUGGUUCAAUAGUGAAAGACGGUUUUGCUGUCACUUAUAGAUGGAUCCGCGCCGCAUUAGCUAGUUGGUAAGGUAACGGCUUACCAAGGCGACGAUGCGUAGCCGACCUGAGAGGGUGAUCGGCCACACUGGAACUGAGACACGGUCCAGACUCCUACGGGAGGCAGCAGUAGGGAAUCUUCCGCAAUGGGCGAAAGCUUGACGGAGCAACGCCGCGUGAGUGAUGAAGGUCUUCGGAUCGUAAAACUCUGUUAUUAGGGAAGAACAAAUGUGUAAGUAACUAUGCACGUCUUGACGGUACCUAAUCAGAAAGCCACGGCUAACUACGUG
rnacentral:rRNA from 1 species